AACCUGUGACAACUUGUACGCGAGCAGCAGAUAGAUUGAGCGUGAUUAUCUAGGACUCAUAAGGUCUUGUGAGAUCUUUUUUCAUUGUGGAAAGAUCAGUGGAUGAAUGUUCUCACUGGAAACAUUUCCAUAAGAUCAUUUUAUUCUCUUCCAAAGUUAAGGAAAUGAAAGGAACUAGACGAGGAAAACGUGAGAGAGGUGGGACGAGUUGUGGCCGUGAAAAGUUUCAAGGACGUGACAAUUUUGGAGCAACGUCUCAGCCACACAUACAUAUCGGACAUGUAUCUGGUGCAUCUGUAGAGAUAGGACAACCAUGUAACCCGAGUCAAGGACCUUUACAGACCGGACGAGUAUCUACUAACUCUCUCCAAAUACCUUCUUUAGAAACACAAUCAUCAUGAAAUGUAGCAGAAACUGUGCAUCGCUCUCCAGAGGCUGAAAAUUGUGCAAGGACAAGGCAGUUAAACAGUGGUAUCGUUCAAGGAUGGUGUCGAGCAAAGAGCAGCUACAAGUCACUUAAUAUUUUAUCUUUUUUGGGAUAUGUAUAUGCGUACAAUUACAAUGCACAAUGAAGUGUCGUGUAGUAUAUAUGUAAUUGACUUUUUAGUAAUGAUAAUAUUUAUAAUAUUCGG